ACACAUGCAAGUCGGACGGCAGCACAGAGAAGCUUGCUUCUUGGGUGGCGAGUGGCGAACGGGUGAGUAACAUAUCGGAACGUACCGGGCAGUGGGGGAUAACUAAUCGAAAGAUUAGCUAAUACCGCAUAUCUUCUGAGGAAGAAAGCAGGGGACCAUUUGGCCUUGCGCUGUUUGAGCGGCCGAUAUCUGAUUAGCUAGUUGGUGGGGUAAAGGCCUACCAAGGCGACGAUCAGUAGCGGGUCUGAGAGGAUGAUCCGCCACACUGGGACUGAGACACGGCCCAGACUCCUACGGGAGGCAGCAGUGGGGAAUUUUGGACAAUGGGCGCAAGCCUGAUCCAGCCAUGCCGCGUGUCUGAAGAAGGCCUUCGGGUUGUAAAGGACUUUUGUCAGGGAAGAAAAGGGCGGGGUUAAUACCCCUGUCUGAUGACGGUACCUGAAGAAUAAGCACCGGCUAACUACGUGCCAGCAGCCGCGGUAAUACGUAGGGUGCGAGCGUUAAUCGGAAUUACUGGGCGUAAAGCGGGCGCAGACGGUUACUUAAGCAGGAUGUGAAAUCCCCGGGCUCAACCUGGGAACUGCGUUCUGAACUGGGUGACUAGAGUGUGUCAGAGGGAGGUAGAAUUCCACGUGUAGCAGUGAAAUGCGUAGAGAUGUGGAGGAAUACCGAUGGCGAAGGCAGCCUCCUGGGAUAACACUGACGUUCAUGCCCGAAAGCGUGGGUAGCAAACAGGAUUAGAUACCCUGGUAGUCCACGCCCUAAACGAUGUCGAUUAGCUGUUGGGCAGCAUGACUGCUUAGUAGCGAAGCUAACGCGUGAAAUCG
rnacentral:rRNA from 1 species